UUCUUGUAUUGGAAAGGUGACUCUCCCCAGAGUGAAGACAAUUUGUGUAUAGUGACACGGCCUAUGCUCUAGGAUGUGCGAGACAACAGCCUGAGCCGACUAAGACAGUUGGUACCAUUACUUCAAGGACCUAGAACUACUAUCUAGAAGGUCCACGGAGGUCAUUUUGCUUCACUAUGAAAAAGGACUUUCUCAUAUUCAAGGGAUUCUAACGAAAGAGUUGGGGAGUGAAUUCCUCUCGCUAAGGUGUUCAGAGUCUGGACAGUAACCUGACAGAUCUAUGCAACCUUUCCACUCACCUUCCUGAACUGGCUCGAGCUUUGCUCUCUCCUGGAGAAUGAGGGCACAAGUGAGUGAGGAACCACGCAAAGGAGAGAUUAAUUUGAAGAAGAGCAGCCCUAAUUCGGAUCUACUUCCUGGAUUUGAAUUCAUUGAAAAAUCAUUUGAAACAUACCUUGGCUGACAAGUAGGCUUUUCCAAAGAAAUUUUUAAAAUUCUUCAAGAUUUGGCGAGCUAGAUAUCUCAAGUGCCUCAGGUAAGGAGAGUCAUUCUUCGGUAUGAACAAAUAAAUCAACCUAUGUAUUAACCUGUUCUACCUAU
rnacentral:lncRNA from 1 species